rnacentral:rRNA from 1 species
CGGAGGAUCCAAGCGUUAUCCGGAAUCAUUGGGUUUAAAGGGUCCGUAGGCGGUUUGGUAAGUCAGUGGUGAAAGCCCAUCGCUCAACGGUGGAACGGCCAUUGAUACUGCCAGACUUGAAUUACUGGGAAGUAACUAGAAUAUGUAGUGUAGCGGUGAAAUGCUUAGAGAUUACAUGGAAUACCAAUUGCGAAGGCAGGUUACUACCAGUGGAUUGACGCUGAUGGACGAAAGCGUGGGUAGCGAACAGGAUUAGAUACCCUGGUAGUCCACGCCGUAAACGAUGGAUACUAGCUGUUGGGGGCAACUCCAGUGGCUAAGCGAAAGUGAUAAGUAUCCCACCUGGGGAGUACGUUCGCAAGAAUG